rnacentral:lncRNA from 1 species
GCCUGUUUCUGCCUAUCACCAUGAGUGAUUCCUCAAUACUCAGAUUUAUCAUCAAGAUCUCAAUUAUAAGCUCAAGUUUUGAUGACAACUUGGUGAUCUGCAGAAAGCCCCACCAUGUAAGGAAGGCCAAGACCACUCUGGAAUCAGUCAAGGCUCAUAGGAACUCCAAUCUUCCCAACUGUGAGAGGGCCUUGCUCCAGUGACUGUCAGUGAAAUGGAGUGAGGCAUACCAGGAUAUGCCUGGUUUUACUUUUGGGAAGGAGGUUGAACAGUGCAAUAUUUCUUCUAUAGGAUUGCAGUGACCAGACAUGCUACUGUAACUCUCAUGGUCAUGUGCUGGAAUUAGCAGAUAUUCAACAAUUUGGCCAUCUCGCUGACCUGUUGAUAUCAGAAGACCGCAACAGCUCUACAAAGCAAGUUGCAAAACAGAAUCCAUGAAACUGGCAGUGACUGGAAACCAAUUGGAAGACUUUGGUCUGUGAUGUAGAGGAGUGGGCAGAGGCAGAAGCAAAGACAACAAAAAACAGAAGUGAUAUGGAUGUCUUUGUCAUAUUGCAUGACUCUGCUGACCCAGCAACAAAGAGGAGGGUGUUCAACAUCAUCCUGCUGGUCAGGAUUCUUCAGGAGAAGCAGUGGAUUCUUGUGGCAGAGAUGUUCAACCACUAUAAAUAC